GAUGAACGCUGGCGGCGUGCCUAAUACAUGCAAGUCGAGCGAACAGACGACUAGCUUGCUCCUCUCACGUUAGCGGCGGACGAGUGAGUCACACGUAGAUAACCUUCCUAUUAGACAGGGAUAACUGCGAGAAACCCGAGUUACUACCGGAAAAUCUUUCUAACCGCAUGGUGCAAUAGAGACAGACGGUUUUGCUGUCACCUCUAGGCUGAUCCGGGCCGUCUUGGCUUGUUGGUAUGGUAACGGCUUACCAAGGCAACGGUGCGUAGCCGACGUGUGCGCGUGAACGGGCACACUGGAACUGAGACACGGUCCAGACUCCUACGGGAGGCACCAGUAGGGAAUCGUGCGCAAUGGGCGAAAGCCUGACGGAGCAACGCAGCGUGAGUGAAGAAGGUCUGCGGAUCGGAAAACUCUGUUAUUGGGGAAGAACAAAUGUGUAAGUAACUAUGCACGUCUUGACGGUACCUAAUCAAAAAGCAACGGCUAACUACGUG
rnacentral:rRNA from 1 species